GUCUUGAGAAGCACGUUGAAUGCACCAGUUCCCGAUGGAUCACUGAAGUUAAGCAACAUUGCGCGUGAUUGGUAUCCAGAUGGGUGACCAUCUGGGCAAUCACGUGCUGCUGGCU
rnacentral:rRNA from 1 species